CUCUUAGAUGUUCUGGGCAGCACGCGCGCUACAAUGGUCUUCGCAAACGGAUGCAUUCUCGAAGGAGAAUGCCAAUCUUGGAAUCUAUGCCUUGGUCGGGACAGUUGCUUGCAAUUUUUCGACUCGAACCAGGAAUUCCUUGUAAUCGUGAUUCAUCACAUCACGAUGAAUACGUCCCUGCCCUUUGUACACACCGCCCGUCGCUCCUACCGAUCGAAGAGUUAGGUGAAUUGUUUUGAUCGAUAAGAUUUGACUAUGGUCAACUCUCGUUGUGAAAUUCUGUGAAUCUGACUGUUUAGAGGAGGGAAAAGUCGUAACA
rnacentral:rRNA from 1 species